rnacentral:rRNA from 1 species
CACGUAGGGGACGAGCGUUGUCCGGAUUCAUUGGGCGUAAAGAGCGCGUAGGCGGUCGUGCAAGUCGGUUGUGAAACCCCGGGGCUCAACCCCGGGCCUGCAUCCGAUACUGCACGACUCGAGGUAGGUAGGGGAGAUCGGAAUUCCUGGUGUAGCGGUGAAAUGCGCAGAUAUCAGGAGGAACACCAAUGGCGAAGGCAGCAUCACUGGGACGGUAUUGACGCUGAGACGCGAAAGCGUGGGGAGCAAACAGG